rnacentral:ribozyme from 1 species
UCCUGCGCCAAGUUGCUGAGAACAAGGAUACUGGAAGGUCGAUGGUCAGCGAUUGGCGCCUGACCUUGAAUAAGGAAAAAAUGCUCUGCGAAACAUUGAUGAAAACUCGCCGUUACCUGACCAUGAUCCGUCUGGAUGGAUGGGUCCCACGGGAGAGCGUGAACUACAUCAAAGAGGAGGUCGAUCACUUCGAGAAUGCUGGGCAAUCUGGAUCUAU